rnacentral:rRNA from 1 species
UACGUAGGGAGCAAGCGUUGUCCGGAAUCAUUGGGCGUAAAGCGCGCGUAGGUGGCCUCAUAAGUCCGCUGUGAAAGUCAAAGGCUCAACCUUUGAAAGCCGGUGGAUACUGUGGGGCUAGAGUACGGAAGAGGCGAGUGGAAUUCCUGGUGUAGCGGUGAAAAUGCGCAGAUAUCAGGAAGAACACCAAUGGCGAAAGCAGCUCUCUGGGACGGUACUGACGCUGAGACGCGAAAGCGUGGGGAGCGAACAGG